ACCUGGGAAGUUGGUUUUACCUGAGGUAGUGCGCUAACCCGCAAGGGAGGCAGCUAACCACGGUAGGGUCAGCGACUGGGGUGAAGUCGUAACAAGGUAGCCGUAGGGGAACCUGCGGCUGGAUCACCUCCUUUCUAAGGAUGAUCCUUCAGAGAGCUUCGGCUCACUAUCGGAUCGUUUUAGAAACAUCAGUGGCCAACGGUCGUCAGGAUCGUUGAGCUGCAUUGGCGGGAUUUCGCCGUCUACGUUUCUCUUUCUUCGCGGACGAACACGCGCUGGGGCUGCAAGCUUGCAGAUCCCUGGUCCUUGACUGGAUAUGCGUUAGGGGCUUGUAGCUCAGUUGGUUAGAGCGCGCGCUUGAUAAGCGUGAGGUCGGAAGUUCAAGUCUUCCCAGGCCCACCACACUCAUCGAGUGAGCAUUCGUCUUCUGGUUACGGGGCCAUAGCUCAGCUGGGAGAGCGCGUGCUUUGCAAGCAUGAGGUCGUCGGUUCGAUCCCGUCUGGCUCCACCAGAUGGUUUGAUUGCCGGCGCAGCUUGCACCANAAAUCGUCCGCGAAACAUCACUUCGCACUUACUAGUCCGGAUGGACAGUGAGCUGCGUGUUUUCUGACAUUGUAAAGAGGAGAUCGAUCCGAGUUGGAUCGUGCAGAGAAUAUCUGCGCGAGACUUCAUUAUCUCCGGAUCAUUUCGGCGCUCACGCGUCCUUCAAGGCAGCCCUCGGGUUGCUUCUGAAAGACACGAGAGUUGUAAAUGAUCCUUUUAGCGAAGCUUGACCGCCUCGCUAUCGGAACGAUCUUACGAAGCAAGCUGGUCUUUCUAAUCAUUGUCCGGCUGCAGAUAGCGUUCAUCGAGGGCGCGUGCCUUAGAGACUUAGGUUUCUUGGUAAUUCUGCAGACAACAUUCUGCCGAGUGUGUGGACAUUGAUAAUGAGAGCAAUCAAGUGCCUUAAGGGUGUUCGGUGGAUGCCUUGGCGCUGAGAGGCGAUGAAGGACGUGCUACGCUGCGAUAAGCCGUGGGGAGCUGCGAAGAAGCUUUGAUCCAUGGAUUUCCGAAUGGGGAAACCCACCUUCGAUAGCCGGAACUCCAAGACCUUUGUCGAAAGACAACGGUGUGGGGUUCGAUCAGAAAUGAGAGAUGCCUAAGCCUUUAGAUUUCGAUCGAAGAGGUUUUGGAUUUUCCGGUUAUCAAGAGAAGGUAUGAGACUUCUGAAUACAUAGGAGGUUUCAAGCAAACCCAG
rnacentral:sRNA from 1 species